rnacentral:rRNA from 1 species
UGGGGAAUUUUGGACAAUGGGCGCAAGCCUGAUCCAGCCAUGCCGCGUGCGGGAAGAAGGCCUUCGGGUUGUAAACCGCUUUUGUCAGGGAAGAAAAGGUUCUGGCUAAUACCUGGGACUCAUGACGGUACCUGAAGAAUAAGCACCGGCUAACUACGUGCCAGCAGCCGCGGUAAUACGUAGGGUGCAAGCGUUAAUCGGAAUUACUGGGCGUAAAGCGUGCGCAGGCGGUUAUGCAAGACAGAGGUGAAAUCCCCGGGCUCAACCUGGGAACUGCCUUUGUGACUGAAUGGCUAGAGUACGGUAGAGGGGGAUGGAAUUCCGCGUGUAGCAGUGAAAUGCGUAGAUAUGCGGAGGAACACCGAUGGCGAAGGCAAUCCCCUGGACCUGUACUGACGCUCAUGCACGAAAGCGUGGGGAGCAAACAGG